AACUGUGGUCAUAUCACCCUGCAGCUCUCAACUGGCAACCCACCGGAGCUAAGCAGGGUUGAGCCUGGGUGGUCUUGGAUGGGAGACCUCCUGGGAAGCUAUGGUUGCUGCUGGAA
rnacentral:rRNA from 1 species